UAGGGAAUCUUCGGCAAUGGGGGGAACCCUGACCGAGCAACGCCGCGUGAGUGAAGAAGGUUUUCGGAUCGUAAAGCUCUGUUGUUAAGGAAGAACGAGUGUGAGAAUGGAAAGUUCAUGCUGUGACGGUACUUAACCAGAAAGGGACGGCUAACUACGUGCCAGCAGCCGCGGUAAUACGUAGGUCCCGAGCGUUGUCCGGAUUUAUUGGGCGUAAAGCGAGCGCAGGCGGUUAGAAAAGUCUGAAGUGAAAGGCAGUGGCUCAACCAUUGUAGGCUUUGGAAACUGUUUAACUUGAGUGCAGAAGGGGAGAGUGGAAUUCCAGGUGUAGCGGUGAAAUGCGUAGAUAUAUGGGGGAACACCGGUGGCGAAAGCGGCUCUCUGGUCUGUAACUGACGCUGAGGCUCGAAAGCGUUGGGAGCGAACAGG
rnacentral:rRNA from 1 species